rnacentral:rRNA from 1 species
GCAAGCGUUGUCCGGAAUUAUUGGGCGUAAAGAGCUCGUAGGCGGUCUGUUACGUCCGCUGUGAAAACCCAGGGCUUAACCCUGGGCUUGCAGUGGAUACGGGUAGACUAGAGGCAGGUAGGGGAGAAUGGAAUUCCCGGUGUAGCGGUGAAAUGCGCAGAUAUCGGGAGGAACACCGGUGGCGAAGGCGGUUCUCUGGGCCUGACCUGACGCUGAGGAGCGAAAGCGUGGGGAGCGAACAGG